UGGUGCUGCUCAGAAUACUGGAGAUGUCUACCACGUUAGGUCCUUGCUUUUGAGGACACUUGCAAGCGCUGAAAAGUGAAACCACCACCUGGGUAGUAAUAGAAUAAAGGAAUGCAGGUGAAUUUAGACCCACAACUGGGCACUGCUGGCUGCUAGAGAUGUAAAGAUAAAGCUAGACAUAGAUUCUGCUGUUGAGCUCCCAAAUUAUUAUCAUGACACUACUUUCAGUGUGGACAUCUGUACCCACAUCUCUUCUCUGAAGUGUGUGCAUUCAGUCAAUUCAUUAGGAAAGAAGAGCGUCAUUAACCAGUAACAAUCGGACUCUCGUGGCUCAUUUCACAUUUUAUUUUAAAUAAACUUUGUUUGCCUGGGUUAACAAUAAAUAAUUGAUAGUUACAUUUUGUUUAAUAACUGUUUCAGUUAAUUCCUAACAAUUGUAAGAAGAGGCGAGUUAGUUUCAGACAUAGAACCCAAGUGUGUUUUAACCCACUAAAAGUACUUCUAAAAACUCAAACUAUUUUGAAUUUAAAAAUAUGUGCCAAGACAACUUAACACUCUUUCCUUUGAUGAGAAAUCUAAUUGACUACAUAGUUCAUUAAGAAUCAAAUCAAGUAGGACUAAAUGGUAGUGGCCUUCUCUUAUUAGACUACAUGCAUGGUAUGGUCUUCAUGUAGAAAUUCAUUUUGUGCCCACUCUUUUAGUCUGUUCAGCACAAAUGGCUGGAUUACCUCAGAAAGCUGACUGGCCAAUAUCAGUGACACCAAACAAUUUUAUUAAUGUUUUAGCAUAUUGACCUUGUUUUUGUCUCUUAGACAAAAUUAUAAACCAAUCUUGCUUUCCACCCUGCCUUACUUUACUACAAUCACAGGGUAACACUGUCUUGAUGUUGGGGUUUGGAGAUGUUU